GACGAACGCUGGCGGCGUGCCUAAUACAUGCAAGUUGAGCGCUGAAGGUUGGUACUUGUACCGACUGGAUGAGCAGCGAACGGGUGAGUAACGCGUGGGGAAUCUGCCUUUGAGCGGGGGACAACAUUUGGAAACGAAUGCUAAUACCGCAUAAAAACUUUAAACACAAGUUUUAAGUUUGAAAGAUGCAAUUGCAUCACUCAAAGAUGAUCCCGCGUUGUAUUAGCUAGUUGGUGAGGUAAAGGCCCACCAAGGCGAUGAUACAUAGCCGACCUGAGAGGGUGAUCGGCCACAUUGGGACUGAGACACGGCCCAAACUCCUACGGGAGGCAGCAGUAGGGAAUCGUCGGCAAUGGACGAAAGUCUGACCGAGCAACGCCGCGUGAGUGAAGAAGGUUUUCGGAUCGUAAAACUCUGUUGUUAGAGAAGAACGUUGGUGAGAGUGGAAAGCUCAUCAAGUGACGGUAACUACCCAGAAAGGGACGGCUAACUACGUG
rnacentral:rRNA from 1 species